rnacentral:rRNA from 1 species
GACGAACGCUGGCGGCGUGCUUAACACAUGCAAGUCGAACGGAAAGGCCCUGCUUUUGUGGGGUGCUCGAGUGGCGAACGGGUGAGUAACACGUGAGUAACCUGCCCUUGACUUUGGGAUAACUUCAGGAAACUGGGGCUAAUACCGGAUAGGAGCUCCUGCUGCAUGGUGGGGGUUGGAAAGUUUCGGCGGUUGGGGAUGGACUCGCGGCUUAUCAGCUUGUUGGUGGGGUAGUGGCUUACCAAGGCUUUGACGGGUAGCCGGCCUGAGAGGGUGACCGGCCACAUUGGGACUGAGAUACGGCCCAGAAUCCUACGGGAGGCAGCAGUGGGGAAGAGUGCACAAUGGGCGGAAGCCUGAUGCAGCAACGCCGCGUGCGGGAGGACGGCCGUCGGGUUGUAAACCGCUUUAGCAUGUGACGAAGCGUGAGUGACGGUAAUGGGUAAAGAAGCACCGGCUAACUACGUG